rnacentral:miRNA from 1 species
GACGUCGAUAUUCGACGUCAUAAACACGGUCAACUUUUGUGUUUAUGACGUCGAUAUACGACGUCAUAAACACGGUCAACUUUGGUGUUUAUGACGUCGAUAUUCGACGUCAUAAACACGGUCAACUUUUGUCUUUAUGACGUCGAUAUACGACGUCAUAAACACGGACAACUUUGGUGUUUAUGACGUCGAUAUACGACGUCAUAAACACGAUCAACUUUGGUGUUUAUGACGUCGAUAUUCGACGUCAUAAACACGGUCAACUUUGGUGUUUAUGACGUCGAUAUUCGACGUC